CUGCUCCCCAUAGAUUUCUUGGCUAUAUUAGGAACUUGUUUUCUUCCUCUUAGCCUGAGUCAAAGCUGGAAUUUUUCAGAAGCAAGUCUAUUAAGAAAUGAAGGGGCAGGGACUGCGGAGACGCCCCAGUAAGCAAAGUUAUACUCUGGUCACGAAGACGGAGCACUGUGGUCCUGAAACCAGAUGGCCUGACUUCGAAUCAGAGCUCUGCUGCUUUCUCGUUGUGAAACCAACUGGAGCUUCUUUAACCUCCAUCUGCUUUCAUUUCCUUCCUACUGAACUGGGGGUGACACCAAGAGCACCUCUCUGUGGUGAGACAAACUUGAACAUCUAUGGAGCAAGUGGGACUGAACCAGGACAUCUAACAUACGUAUGCUCUCUGUGGCAAGACGAACAUUGAACAUCUAUGGAGCAAGGGGAACUGCACCAGGACAGGAGGGUCUGGCUGUCCUGGAACUUGCUAUGUAGACUACGUUGGCCUCAAACUCACAGAGAUCCACCUGCCUGCUGGGCUUCAAGUCCAUGCACCACCACACCCAGCUUGUAUGAGUAUUUUUGUUAAAUAAAAGUAUGGCAUCAUACAAUAACAAAAUAGGUUUCCAAAAUGGACACAUUUGGGAAUGUUACUAAAAACUGGUUCCAACGGAGGAAAGUCCUAAGAGUUAGCUUAUUUCUCGCUAGGCAUUCAGUCCUACAGCAUCUUGUAUUGACUGUAGCGCGCGGAGAUGUAGCGUGCGCCAUGGCGCUGUCAUGUCGUGGGCACGGAGCCUGGACGCCAUUUGCUGUUCCACGUCAAACUUGACAACUUGUGCUCAUGCGCGCGAGCUCCCCCUUGUGCGCAUGCUCGCGAGCUCCCCCCAGCGCGGGGAGUCUUUCGAUCUGGCCAUCCGAUCUGGCCAAUCAUAAUUUAAGCACGAUCACUCCAUUCUGGCCUGAGCCAUUGGGUUGAUGACACGUCAGGGCUUUGUCUGGCACCGUAUAUAUUCUUCUGCUUCAC